GGGAGCUCCAGCGCAGGCGCACUGGAUGCGGGGUCCUUAAGCUGUCCGCGGUCACGUGAAGGUGUCGCGGCGGCUACGCCCACCUGGACCCAGUUUACCCUGUACUGUGCUGCAAAAUAUUACUUUCUCCCCAUCUGGAAUUCUUCCCUUCCUCCUUCCUGCCGCAGUGGUGUACUGAGCACUUUCACGUAAGAGUAUUCCUCCACUCGAACAACCCCCCGGAGAAGUACUGGUGUCACUGCCACCUGCGAGAGUUUGCGGCUACCUCCCCAAGAGGCAGUCCCAGGGUUAUUGUGACCUAUGAUGUUUAUUCAACUACUGUUGACGGGCUGCUGUGCACAGGGAACCUAGUAGGCAAGACCCCUGCCAUCGUGCAGCUUACUGUCAGGUUGACACAGACCUUAAGGCAGAAUGAAGGAACAAGACAGCAAAGAAUGUGACUGGCCCCAUGGAAAGGAAGUUGUAUCCUAUCCUGGGGACUCUGUCCAGAUGUUCCAGGUGGUGACAAACAGCAACAUAAUAUAGUGGUUUAUGCAGACUUCUUCACACAUGUGAGGAGCAAGCUUGGAAGUUCAAAGGGUUUGAUGCCCAUACAUUGUGAAAUAUCAGAACAUUAGAGACAAAGAGAUAAUGUUCUAAGUGUCUGGAGAGGGAGAAAAAACAGGCCAUGUACAAGGAAUGAUAAUAAAAAUGACUCUGGGCUUCUCAGCAACAUUUGAAGGAAGAAGACAAUGGAAGAGUGUCUUCAAUGUGAUGGAAAAUGCCUUCCAACCUAGAAAUCCUAUAACCAACCAAACUGGCAAUGUGAAGAUUGACUAUAGACACUUGUAACAUCUGAACAAAAUUAGGCCAGGCGUGGUGGCUCACACCUGUAAACCCAGCACUUUGGGAGGCCAAG
rnacentral:lncRNA from 1 species